rnacentral:rRNA from 1 species
UCCAGUUUUCGGUCGUGCUACAUGGUGUGGGCUGGCCUUUUUCCACCCCGUCUCUCCUUCGUCUACCUGUUCUCCAUCACCCUCCGCUCCCUCUUCCUCCUUCCACAUCCCGAUCUAAUCCCAUCGCCCCAACGCUCUCCCCUUCCCCUCCAUGGUGAGCCGCCUCUCUUCCCAGCUAGUUGCGCCGCCCAAACCCUCUCCGACCUCCAUGGCGGUGCUCCCUCCGUCUUAUGCUGCACAAAUACCAGCGAGAUCUGGGUCGACAGGACACAGGUGAUAUCGUCAUCAACCGCCGCCCCUGGUGCCUCGUGCGUGCUGAGGGGCAUCUACUUCGGAUCUGGCCGCGGAGCGGGAACGGUCCAUCGGAUUGGGCGGUGAUUGCAAGCUCUGCCUCUAUUCUUCACAGUAGGUUCUGAAUUUGAAUCGGAAUAAACCUGGCUGAAGUUGCAAUCUGCACUAUGGAGGAUCAUUACGGGCUGUGGCGAGCCGUCUGCUCUUCCUACAGAGUUAGUGUCCAUUUGCACUGUACUAUAUAAUUCGUUAGUGAUCAUGAUCACCUUACUUGGUGUUCUCGAUCGAGCCGCGUAGAUGGUGACUACGUUGUUGUUGCUGGUGGUUUGAGAGAAACUGAAUUGAAAAGAUUCCUGGACGUAUAAUCUGUCAGGUAUCAUCUGUAAUUUGGAUUCAAGUUUCAGAUGUCUUAGAUAUAUUGUAUCUUCAUCAUUUUCUCUAGCUUGAUACUGUGCCAAGCCACGAUCCUCUCUCCUCUGCUGUGGUGUAAGUGGUGCGGGGAGACCCGCGCGCGUUCGAGGGAGAGCUAGCCCGUAAGGUGCCUUUUGGCCUACCUCUUGUGGUCCUCACCUGGUUCAAGAGCUGGGAUUUGAAAAGCUAGAGAUGCACUUUUUCCUGGGAUUCUGACAUGGAUUUUAUUGCAAGCAAUGGCCCCUGGAGAUUCCGUCAUGCAUUGUUUAACAAGCUCAGUCAUUGUGUCAAUUAAAACUGAAAAGGACGUGUCAAAACUUAUCAAAAGGAAACAAUUUGUUGUCUCUUGGCUUUUUGGUUGCAAAUGCACUAUUUUUUUUGAGAGAACAAAUUCACUAUUAUUGAGAUAGAGAAUGCACGUCAACUACACAACAAAUUAUCAUGGUGUUCAAUUUUCCAAUCUUCCACUUAAUUUUGUUUCUAUCAUUUAGUUUGCUUUCUCUUUUCCAAUCUUUCACGUAAUAUUGUUGUCCAACAGAUGGGCCGUGAGUUUGGAAUUAGGCGGCCACGGCGCGUAGUCUGCCACCCGCUGCGUCGGCAUCCCAUUACCUGCAGGACCAUGGCCCCAUGGCGUCGGCGUCAUUGAUCACAGCAAUGCCGACGCCACCCGGGACGUGUACUGGACUGAGGCUUUGUGAUACGAGUAGAUCAUCCAAGAGGGUUAACAUUUGCACAUUAGUGAUCAUCCAAGGAGUACUACUAUUAUGUUUUAGGUUGUUGUUGCUGCUUUAAUCAACUAUGAACUGCCA